rnacentral:rRNA from 1 species
GAUUUCUGGCACGAUUUGCCUGGCCCGCCACGGUUUCGUGUGUGAGUGCCGGGUCGAAUCUGCCAUCCUUCCAGAGAACGUUCCUACCCUUCACUGGGCCGGGGACGCAAUCUGGAUCGUUUACUUUGAAAAAAUUAGAGUGUUUCAAGCAGGCGACUCGCUGUGAAUACAUUAGCAUGGAAUAAUAACUUAGGACUUCGGUUCUAUUUUGUUGGUUUCUAGGACUGAAGUAAUGAUUGAUAGGGAUAGUUGGGGGUGCUAGUAUUCAGUGGCCAGAGGUGAAAUUCUCGGAUUCACUGAAGACUAACUUAUGCGAAAGCAUU